UGGAACCCUGAUCCUUAAACUGGAUUUAAUUUUCUUUUAAGAUGGGCCUGAAUUAAAACCCCACUCCUGAAAGCUCUAACUUGGGUGAAGUUCAGAUCCAGAUCAGAACUUUACACGUGCUAUCUCUGUAAUGGACCAAACCAUUGAUCUAAAUACACUGACUGUCUAGGACCUUCGCUGACUGGGCCAGAGAGCUUCAGAAUGCUCAGAUAUGGAAGCCAUACAACUAUAAGGAUAGCUGGAUAGAAAAGAAUGGAAACUUAUCUUCCUCACCCACUCAUGAAAUCACCGAAAAUGUAGAGGCCAUUCAGGUUUGGGGAUUCACAUCCCCGGUACACAUAUCCUCCAGUGACUGACUUCCCUACAGUGUGGCCAUAGGCAAAUAUCGGAAGAAUGUCAUCUGUUAAAUACACACAAAAAAACAGCUUUCACAGACUUGCUGAUUAAAGAGCAACUGGUCAAUAAUAUUGAUGUAUGCAAUAGAGGCCAAAAGGGCUAAUACACAUGGGCGUAGCUUGGUUCAUGUCAAUGGGGUUUCACCCAUUUACACUAGCAGAGAAUUUGGCCUAGGCUUUAAGGAGCUGCCUACGUCACUUAACAAGACUCAGCCAGUGAACUUCAUUAGCAGGCUGGACUAAUAUUCUUUACAUUAGGUAAAUGCUGCAGAGAGAGUUCAUGAAAUGUUACAUGUGGCCAAGUGUAUCAAGCAUUUUAACAAAGAUUAACAUUAAAAAUUCAGUUGUUUUCUACUGAAAAGACAAAAUAUGGAAGCAGGAAGUUGCAGCUCAGCUCAACAGAUUUAUACAUUGCAAUUGCUCCCAUGGGUAGCAACUGAAGAUCAUUCUGCUGGAUCACACAUAUUACCAGAACCAUAAGUUACAGCCACCCUUUCUGCCUGGCACCAUGAAAGGUGGUUCCAGCCCUUUUUUGGGAUGCUGACAUUCUUCUGAAAACUUUCAGUCCUGUCUGCACUUUUUCAAUAUGACUGAGAUUUUCUUUUUAUGCUGAACAGCACAGAUAGAAAAAUGUAAUGAGUUAAAAUCUGAAGCCUAGCAGCCAAGCCUAACACAAGCACAUGGUAAACUUUCUGGUCCUUACGCCAUAGUGCUGGACCUUGUUAAAAACUACUGGCGUAUUCUGCAGUAAUGGCACCGUAUGGCAAUCACCACCACAUAUGUGGUGUGUAGAUAGAUACUGCAUACCUACACUCAUAUGCCAAGCUUAGUUCCCAGAGUCAUUUACAUUUUAUUAUCUUAAGAGUGGUGUUUGUCAACAAAAUCCUUAAGGAACAUAAUUACACCCAGCUCUUAUAUUGUGCUUUCCAUCUGUUGAUAUCAAAGCACUUCACAAAGAUGAUCAGUAUCAUUAUCCCCAUUUUACAGAUGGGGAAACCGAGGCACAGAAAGGUGAAAUGACUUAUCAAAGACAAAGUCAGCCAGGAGUAGAACCCAGGUCUCCUGAGGUCCCCUCCAGUGCUCUAUCCAGAAGGCAACACUGCCUCUCAUAUAGGAUUUGCUACAAGAUCAUUUCACGAAGCCUGGUAGCCUACCUUCAACAGUGGCCACUACGUGAUGUUUCAGAGGAAAGCAAGAAUUCCCCAUAAUGCAUUUAGGCCCCAAUCCAGUGCCCACUGGACUCCAUAGAAAGACUUCUGUUGACUGCAAUGGGCACUGGCACUGGCCCUUCGCCACUUGUGCAAUGCGGUGCACAACACAGAAUUCUUGAGAUACCAGGAUGUUUUGUAUUUUGGUGCCUCUGGACUGGAAAGCUGGGAGGCUGUAUGUUUUCUUAUCAGACAGGAACAUAUUCCCCAUCCUCCUGUACAUGACUUCAGAUUACAGAGGUUCACUGGAAAAGCAGCAAUACAGUUGUUAACUAAGUGCAUAUUGCACAGUGUACUUAGCAUAUUGCUUUGCCUCUCCUGGAAUUGACACCUCCUCCUCAAUUAUUGGGAGUGGACUACAUCCACCCUGAUCAAAUUGGCCCUGUCAACACUGGUUCUCCACUUGUGAGAAACUUCACCUUGGGGAGGCAAAUGUAUUCUUCCAUCGACUUAGCUGUGUGCAAGAUUGGAUCCUGACAUUGUAAGCUUCUCAGAGUCUGUUUUGUAUCAUGUGCAGCACUCAUCACGUGUUAACAUUUAACAAUCAUUACUAAUUAUUAAUAUGUCCUUAUAUUCCAUGAUUCUAUGAUUUGGUGGAAUGAUGAUCUGUCCUUACUGCUUAUUGGAUCAAAGAGCUAGGGUUGACUUCACUUGAGGGGAAAAAAGCAUUAUGCAGUAGAACCUUGCUGACUGUGCUAAUCCAAUAAACAAUUGAAUCUCAUGAAGUAGCCUAGCCUGUUCCUACUGUGUUGACAUUAACAUCAAUAGAAGCAGAAGCAGGUAAUUAAAAACUAGCAGUCACUAAUCACUUUUCAUCAAAGAAUUAAUAGAUAAGUCAUUAUUUUAGGAUCUCAAGUUACUAAGACAAUUAUUUUUAAAAAUAUACACCAAUAUUUUUAUGAUAUGCUAUGAAAUGUGAUUGCAAUGAAUUCAAACUAAGCUACACAUAUCAGGACUUAUGAUCAAAGUAUAAAGAUGCAACAGUCUUAAUUGUUA